rnacentral:rRNA from 1 species
AACUUUUAGUAAUGGAUCUCUUGGUUCUCGCAUCGAUGAAGAACGUAGCAAAGUGCGAUAACUAGUGUGAAUUGCAUAUUCAGUGAAUCAUCGAGUCUUUGAACGCAACUUGCACUCAUUGGUAUUCCAAUGAGUACACCUGUUUCAGUA